UAGGAAGCAUGCUGAGGAAUAUAUGUAUAGACGUCACAACAGAAAAGUUGAGAGCGAGAAAUCUCAAGUGCAAGAACCAGAAAUUCCUGAAAAAAGGAAACUAGAUUUUGAAGAAACUCUUUCUGUUAUCAGAAAUAAGUUGAAGAGUUUUGAAGAAUCUGUAAACCAAGGGUUUUCUAGUGAUGAAGAGAAUCUUUCAGAUACUUGAUGUAUAUGUAAAUGCAUCAUGUUUGUGUACAAUCCAUAUUUUAUAUAUAUAUAUAAUGUGCUACCAAAUUUUUAAUAAAUGUGAAUAUUUUGAAAAUCUUUAA